UCAUUUCCCGAUUUGUUUAGAGAGCUAAAUGACGGUGAAAUUGAAAAUCACUACAAAAUGAACUCUGACAAUGUUGGAACUUGGCAUGGUAUCAUCAUUCACCCGCAUAGCAUGUGCAAAAGAGUAGAGAGGGUCACGG